rnacentral:rRNA from 1 species
UACGUAGGGCGCAAGCGUUAUCCGGAAUUAUUGGGCGUAAAGAGCUCGUAGGCGGUUUGUCGCGUCUGCCGUGAAAGUCCGGGGCUCAACUCCGGAUCUGCGGUGGGUACGGGCAGACUAGAGUGAUGUAGGGGAGACUGGAAUUCCUGGGUGUAGCGGUGAAAUGCGCAGAUAUCAGGAGGAACACCGAUGGCGAAGGCAGGUCUCUGGGCGAUUAACUGACGCUGAGGAGCGAAAGCAUGGGGAGCGAACA